rnacentral:snoRNA from 1 species
AAGCAAUAAUGCAAAGGUUUUACUGGUGACCUUUAUAACUCUAACUAUGAAGACUUCCACACUUGAUCUCAACUCA